rnacentral:rRNA from 1 species
CCUACGGGGGGCUGCAGUAGGGAAUCUUCCACAAUGGGCGAAAGCCUGAUGGAGCAACGCCGCGUGGGUGAAGAAGGUCUUCGGAUCGUAAAACCCUGUUGUUAGAGAAGAAAGUGCGUGAGAGUAACUGUUCACGUUUCGACGGUAUCUAACCAGAAAGCCACGGCUAACUACGUGCCAGCAGCCGCGGUAAUACGUAGGUGGCAAGCGUUAUCCGGAUUUAUUGGGCGUAAAGGGAACGCAGGCGGUCUUUUAAGUCUGAUGUGAAAGCCUUCGGCUUAACCGGAGUAGUGCAUUGGAAACUGGGAGACGUGAGUGCAGAAGAGGAGAGUGGAACUCCAUGUGUAGCGGUGAAAUGCGUAGAUAUAUGGAAGAACACCAGUGGCGAAAGCGGCUCUCUGGUCUGUAACUGACGCUGAGGUUCGAAAGCGUGGGUAGCAAACAGGAUUAGAACCCCGGUAGUC